UACGUAGGGAGCAAGCGUUGUCCGGAAUCAUUGGGCGUAAAGCGCGCGUAGGCGGCUCGAUCAGUCUGUUGUGAAAGUCAAAGGCUCAACCUUUGAAUGCCGAUGGAUACUGUCGAGCUAGAGUCCGGAAGAGGCGGGUGGAAUUCCUGGUGUAGCGGUGGAAUGCGCAGAUAUCAGGAGGAACACCAACGGCGAAGGCAGCCCGCUGGGACGGUACUGACGCUAAGGCGCGACAGCGUGGGGAUCAAACAGG
rnacentral:rRNA from 1 species